AUUGAACGCUGGCGGCAGGCCUAACACAUGCAAGUCGAGCGAGCGGCGGACGGGUGAGUAAUGUCUGGGAGACUGCCUGCUGGAGGGGGAUAACCACUGUAAACCGUAGCUAAUACCGCGUACCAUCGGAUGUGCCCCGAUGGGAUUAGCUAGUAGGUGGGGUAACGGCUCACCUAGGCGCCGAUCCCUAGCUGGUCUGAGAGGGGGACCAGGCACACUGGAAAUGAGACACGGUCCAGACUCCUACGGGAGGCAGCAGUGGGGAAGAUUGCACAAUGGGGGCAAGGCUGAUGGAGCCAAGCCGCGUGUAUGAAGAAGGCCGUCGGGUUGGAAAGUAAAUUCAGCGGGGAGGCGUUACCCGCAGAAGAAGGACCUGCGAACUCCGUGCCAGCAGCCGCGGUAAUUC
rnacentral:rRNA from 1 species